rnacentral:misc_RNA from 1 species
CACUUGGCCAAAACAUAUGGGUCAGAUGGACCAUCUCUAGCUUGUACUUCAAGCCGCUUCAAGUCAGCCAUGAACCGUGCAAUUUGUUGUUCAAAAGACAUCACGUUUGGAGGCAGUAGGCCACGAAUGUGAAGACGAUCACGUUCUGUAAAUGAGAAUGCUGUUCCCUUGUUAAACCAUGGAUCGUGAAGAAUAUCAAGACUACGCUUAUGAACAAUAGUAGGACGAUGACCUUCCGUUGUAGUAAAAUUUCUUGAAGAAGAUGAAUUCACAGCAGCAGCAACUCUUUGAUGUAAACGCCUCAGAAUAGUUGAGGAAAGUCGCAUUUGAUUGGAAAAAUUCGCCAUUUUUCUGGAUCGAAGAGAAACAGUGAAGAAUGAAGAUCAAGCGAAAGUGAAACUUGUUAAUAAACCCAAUAAAUAAAUAAUCACGAUAUUCGAUGUAGAGUUUUCACAGUGUUCAGUGGCCGGAAAAGCUUAAACGAGUGGUAAUUGGUUAAUUCCUUGCAUUUUUGUGACUAAUUUUGUCGGCUGAAUUCCAUUGACAAAAGAAUGUAAAAAUCGAGCGUGUUUAGACCCGGCUCAUUUAUGACACAAUUAUAUGUUCACCGU